rnacentral:rRNA from 1 species
UGACCUCGGAUCUGGUAGGGAUACCCGCUGAACUUAAGCAUAUCAAUAAGCGGAGGAAAAGAAACCAACAGGGAUUGCCUUAGUAACGGCGAGUGAAGCGGCAACAGCUCAAAUUUGAAAUCUGGCUCUUUCAGGGUCCGAGUUGUAAUUUGCAGAGGGCGCUUUGGUGUUGGCAGCGGUCCAAGUUCCUUGGAACAGGACGUCACAGAGGGUGAGAAUCCCGUACGUGGUCGCUAACCUUCACCGUGUAAAGCCCCUUCGACGAGUCGAGUUGUUUGGGAAUGCAGCUCUAAAUGGGAGGUAAAUUUCUUCUAAAGCUAAAUACUGGCCAGAGACCGAUAGCGCACAAGUAGAGUGAUCGAAAGAUGAAAAGCACUUUGGAAAGAGAGUCAAACAGCACGUGAAAUUGUUAAAAGGGAAGCGCUUGCAGCCAGACUUGCCUGUAGUUGCUCAUCCGGGCUUUUGCCCGGUGCACUCUUCUAUAGGCAGGCCAGCAUCAGUUUGGGCGGUUGGAUAAAGGUCUCUGUCAUGUACCUCUCUUCGGGGAGGCCUUAUAGGGGAGACGACAUGCAACCAGCCUGAACUGAGGUCCGCGCAUUUGCUAGGAUGCUGGCGUAAUGGCUGUAAGCGGCCCGUCUUGAAACACGGACCAAGGAGUCUAACAUCUAUGCGAGUGUUUGGGUGUCAAGCCCGAACGCGUAAUGAAAGUGAACGGAGGUGGGACCCCAUUAGGGUGCACCAUCGACCGAUCCUGAUGUCUUCGGAUGGAUUUGAGUAAGAGCAUAGCUGUUGGGACCCGAAAGAUGGUGAACUAUGCUUGAAUAGGGUGAAGCCAGAGGAAACUCUGGUGGAGGCUCGCAGCGGUUCUGACGUGCAAAUCGAUCGUCAAAUUUGGGCAUAGGGGCGAAAGACUAAUCGAACUAUCUAGUAGCUGGUUCCUGCCGAAGUUUCCCUCAGGA